CAAUCACGGGAAGGCUUACGGGAUGACAAGUCCCCACGGUGGCUGUCAUAAUUUGGUUGAGCUGUAAGCGACGUGGCUUGCUGUACUCAGAGUUAACCUCUGGAUAACCUCACGAGACCUCGCAGUGACGUGAUGAGUAGCCAAUCAGGACGCAACACUAACUGGCUCGACCAAUAGACUUGUAGAUAAGUGUAUAAAUACAUCAGAUCACGAGAAGUCCGUGGCGAGUGUAAACAAAACCAGUCGAACAGCAAGGCGUAUCAUUCAGCAGACGUAAUAUCGCACGAGAACACAAAAUGUCAGCAGCAGACGAGCAAUAUAUGGACGAAUAUGAAAAAUACAACAUAGAACAGGAUAAAUUUGUGAACACGGGCCAUAGCGGAAAGGGACGGACGAAGAAAGAAGCCGAACAACACAUUCGGGAGGACCCGUGUGGACACACAAGGAAGACCGUCCAGAAACUUAUGAACAAUGCUCAAAACAACGCGACUGGACAGAAAGGUCCAUCCACGGUUAAGAAAUCAUGAUAACCCAAGUGAUAUGAAAUAACGGGUACCCAUGGCAACCGCUUCGUAAAGGACCAAGAGAAAGGAUAUGAAACACUGAUGAGGACCCGAUUGACCAGUGACCGGACUGAUGACCUGUUGAAGGUCAAGGUCACAGUGAUGUGAUAUCGUGUACCUGGGACGACUGCUCUUACCGGGAUAGACCGGGACAAUGGCACAUCCAUAUUUCUCCAUUCGUUGUUUUGUCGUGUUUACAAUUUGUCUUUUGAUAAAACAUUAAAAAGUGUUUAUUUUA